GACGAACGCUGGCGGCGUGCUUAACACAUGCAAGUCGAACGGAAAGGCCCUGCUUUUGUGGGGUGCUCGAGUGGCGAACGGGUGAGUAACACGUGAGUAACCUGCCCUUGACUUUGGGAUAACUUCAGGAAACUGGGGCUAAUACCGGAUAGGAGCUCCUGCUGCAUGGUGGGGGUUGGAAAGUUUCGGCGGUUGGGGAUGGACUCGCGGCUUAUCAGCUUGUUGGUGGGGUAGUGGCUUACCAAGGCUUUGACGGGUAGCCGGCCUGAGAGGGUGACCGGGGGGAGUGGGAAGGGGCGAGGGGGCAGACGGGUAGGGGAGGAAGGGGGGGGGAGCAGUGAAGAGGGGGCGGGAGGCAGACGCAGGAGGGGCGGGUGAGGGAUGAGGGCGUGCGGGGGGAAAACCGAUGUCGCCGGAAAGAGGGCGGGAGUGAAGGGAAGGAGUAAGGAAGCAAAGGGGAAUGAAGGG
rnacentral:rRNA from 1 species